AGAAAUAAAGUGAAUUGAUGUAAAACAGAGAGGAAAGCAAGAGAGGAUUGAAUAUAGAAGUGCUCCAGGAUCAAAGCUGAUGUAUCAUGGGACAACUUUUGUAACUUAGUUAUUGGUCAUCUUUCUGUCUUUAUUAAUCCACUGUUUCAAUAUGAACACUGUAGCCAGUGAGACUGCUUCAAAUGAAUGUGAAAUAAAGCUGAACCUCAUCUGCUGAAA
rnacentral:lncRNA from 1 species